rnacentral:rRNA from 1 species
UACGAUCCCUUCGGGGUGACGAGUUAUUGACUGAGUGGCGGACGGGUGAGUAACGCGUGGGUAACCUACCUUGUACAGGGGGACAACAGUUGGAAACGACUGCUAAUACCGCAUAANCGCACAGCAUCNCAUGAUGCAGUGUGAAAAGUUUUUUCGGUACAAGAUGGACCCGCGUCUGAUUAGCUAGUUGGUGAGGUAACGGCCCACCAAGGCGACGAUCAGUANCCGACCUGAGAGGGUGACCGGCCACAUUGGGACUGAGACACGGCCCAAACUCCUACGGGAGGCAGCAGUGGGGAAUAUUGCACAAUGGGCGCAAGCCUGAUGCAGCGACGCCGCGUGAGCGAAGAAGUAUUUCGGUAUGUAAAGCUCUAUCAGCAGGGAAGAUAAUGACGGUACCUGACUAAGAAGCACCGGCUAAAUACGUGCCAGCAGCCGCGGUAAUACGUAUGGUGCAAGCGUUAUCCGGAUUUACUGGGUGUAAAGGGAGCGUAGGCGGUUUUACAAGUCUGAUGUGAAAGCCCGGGGCUCAACUCCGGUAUUGCAUUGGAAACUGUAGAACUAGAGUGUCGGAGGGGUAAGUGGAAUUCCUAGUGUAGCGGUGAAAUGCGUAGAUAUUAGGAGGAACACCAGUGGCGAAGGCGGCUUACUGGACGAUUACUGACGCUGAGGCUCGAAAGCGUGG